rnacentral:rRNA from 1 species
GUGGGGAAUCUUGCGCAAUGGGCGAAAGCCUGACGCAGCCAUGCCGCGUGAAUGAUGAAGGUCUUAGGAUUGUAAAAUUCUUUCACCGGGGACGAUAAUGACGGUACCCGGAGAAGAAGCCCCGGCUAACUUCGUGCCAGCAGCCGCGGUAAUACGAAGGGGGCUAGCGUUGCUCGGAAUUACUGGGCGUAAAGGGCGCGUAGGCGGACAGUUUAGUCAGAGGUGAAAGCCCAGGGCUCAACCUUGGAAUUGCCUUUGAUACUGGCUGUGUUGAGUUUGGGAGAGGUGAGUGGAACUCCGAGUGUAGGGGUGAAAUUCGUAGAUAUUCGGAAGAACACCAGUGGCGAAGGCGACUCACUGGCCCAAUACUGACGCUGAGGCGCGAAAGCGUGGGGAGCAAACAGGAUUAGAUACCCGGGUAGUCC